AAUGAAAAAUUUUCCAAGUACUUCUGUAUUGUUUAUUAUCGGAUUGGACCAAAUAACUGAUUGUAUUACUGCAAUUAAUUCAUUUCAAUGUAAACUUUUGAACAUUAUUUCCUCUCAAACUGGAAUGUACAAAAAAAUGAUACUUUUCAAUAAAACUGUCAAAAAUUGAAUAAUCAAUUUAAAAUAUUUAAAGGAAAAAAUGUCUGCAUAUUUAUAUUAGUUUAUCUUUUGUUUAUAGAUUGAUGAACGCUCUAAAUAUUUUGCCUUUAACGCCUUCUUCUCUCGAUUUAUUUAAGGAAUAAUAAAUUGAGUUUGCAGACAUAUUAGCUCCUCAAUUUAAAAGAGGAAAUUGCAAGGCGAAUUCACACGUAUUGAAGGUUUUCUUAAUUUUCCUUGACCUUCUUUGACUUUCAGUAUUUUUCAUUUUCCAUCCGUCUUCCCUCUAAUUAGCAUCGUUUAAUACCUAUAUUUUGCCUUUCAAUUAGCUGCCAAUGAAUUUCUCAUUACGAUCAAAUGUGUAUAUUUUAUUUGAGCAAUAGUUAUCAUCCUUGUGUGUAAACCGAUCAUCCUGUUCCACAUCUAAUCUAGAGUGGAGCAGAAAAGUAGGUGAUUGAUUACAGAUACAGACAAUCUAAAAACAAAUGUAAAUAAAGUGUAAGUGGGUAUAUAAACUUAGAUAUAAGCAAUAAUCCCUAAUCCUAGGAAUACUGCGAAAUAUUUCGCAACUGAUCGCGACAGAUAACUUGCCAGUCUCAUUAAUGUCAAGUUUCCUUAUGGUAAAAUAAAUGCGUUUUGCACACUAAAAUAUUCAUAAGCUGCCUUGAAUUAGUACUGCACAGUAUUGUGAAACACGUGGAAGAAAGUUCAAGGGCAAAAUGAGACGUCUUCCAUUUUUGUCAACACAUAGUUUGGAGUUGAGCAAAACUGGAUCAGAACUGGAGCCAGAUUCAAUGUCAUUGUUUGGACUCACAGCAUAACUGCAGACUUCCGCACAAACCACAAAAACUUAAACCAGAAAAGUGUAAUGAAAAAGUCCAAAGAUGAUUGGAAAUACUUACGGAUUGUCCACACUAAGCCAGCGCUCAUUUUAACCUAGAAUUGUUCGGAUUUAAAUUUAGAAAGAUGGGAAAAAUCGACUAUGUUGAUAAGAUUGUGAUCCUGUAGAUAGUCUAUCAAAAUAUUAAGUCUCCACUGAA
rnacentral:lncRNA from 1 species